rnacentral:rRNA from 1 species
AUGAACGCUGGCGGCGUGCCUCAUACAUGCAAGUCGAGCGAACAGACGAGGAGCUUGCUCCUCUGACGUUAGCGGCGGACGGGUGAGUAACACGUGGAUAACCUACCUAUAAGACUGGGAUAACUUCGGGAAACCGGAGCUAAUACCGGAUAAUAUAUUGAACCGCAUGGUUCAAUAGUGAAAGACGGUUUUGCUGUCACUUAUAGAUGGAUCCGCGCCGCAUUAGCUAGUUGGUAAGGUAACGGCUUACCAAGGCAACGAUGCGUAGCCGACGUGAGAGGGUGAUCGGCCACACUGGAACUGAGACACGGUCCAGACUCCUACGGGAGGCAGCAGUAGGGAAUCUUCCGCAAUGGGCGAAAGCCUGACGGAGCAACGCCGCGUGAGUGAUGAAGGUCUUCGGAUCGUAAAACUCUGUUAUUAGGGAAGAACAAAUGUGUAAGUAACUAUGCACGUCUUGACGGUACCUAAUCAGAAAGCCACGGCUAACUACGUG